rnacentral:rRNA from 1 species
CAGCAGCCGCGGGAAAACGUAGGGUGCAAGCGUUAAUCGGAAUUACUGGGCGUAAAGCGUGCGCAGGCGGUUCGUUAAGACAGAUGUGAAAUCCCCGGGCUUAACCUGGGGACUGCAUUUGUGACUGGCGGGCUAGAGUAUGGCAGAGGGGGGUAGAAUUCCACGUGUAGCAGUGAAAUGCGUAGAGAUGUGGAGGAAUACCGAUGGCGAAGGCAGCUCCCUGGGCCAAUACUGACGCUCAUGCACGAAAGCGUGGGGAGCAAACAGGAUUAGAGACCCGAGUAGUCCCUGUCUCUUAUAC